rnacentral:rRNA from 1 species
GACGAACGCUGGCGGCGUGCCUAAUACAUGCAAGUAGAACGCAGUUGCGAACGGUUGAGGAACGCUUAGGUAACUGCGGUAUCGCGGGGGAUAACUAUUGGUAACGAUAGCUAAUACGUCAUACUGUGAGAUGGACCUGCGUUGGAUUAGUUAGUUGGUUAGGUAAAUGCUGACCAAGGCGCCGAUACAUGCCCGACCUGAGAGGGUGAUUGGCCAAAAUGGGACUGGGAAAACGGCCAAAAUCCUACGGUGGGCAGCAGGUGGGAAACUUCGGCAAUGGACGGAAGGCUGACCGAGCAAAGCCGCGGGAAUGAAGAAGGUUUUCGGAUCCUAAAGCUAUUUUGUUAGAGAAGCGGUAACUAACCAGAAAGGGACGGCUAACUACGUGCCAGCAGCCGCGGUAAUAC